rnacentral:rRNA from 1 species
CUACGGGCGGCUGCAGUGAGGAGUAUUGGACAAUGGGCGAGAGCCUGAUCCAGCCAUGCCGCGUGCAGGAAGACUGCCCUAUGGGUUGUAAACUGCUUUUAUACGGGAAGAAACACCGCUACGUGUAGCGGCUUGACGGUACCGUAAGAAUAAGGAUCGGCUAACUCCGUGCCAGCAGCCGCGGUAAUACGGAGGAUCCAAGCGUUAUCCGGAAUCAUUGGGUUUAAAGGGUCCGUAGGUGGAUAAUUAAGUCAGAGGUGAAAUCCUGCAGCUCAACUGUAGAAUUGCCUUUGAUACUGGUUGUCUUGAGUUAUUAUGAAGUAGUUAGAAUAUGUAGUGUAGCGGUGAAAUGCAUAGAUAUUACAUAGAAUACCAAUUGCGAAGGCAGAUUACUAAUAAUGAACUGACACUGAUGGACGAAAGCGUGGGGAGCGAACAGGAUUAGAUACCCCCGUAGUC